GACGAACGCUGGCGGCGUGCUUAACACAUGCAAGUCGAACGGAAAGGCCCUGCUUUUGUGUGGUUCUCGAGUGGCGAACGGGUGAGUAACACGUGAGUAACCUGCCCUUGACUUUGGGAUAACUUCAGGAAACUGGGUCUAAUACCGGAUAGGAGCUCCUGCUGCAUGGUGGGGGUUGGAAAGUUUCGGCGGUUGGGGAUGGACUCGCGGCUUAUCAGCUUGUUUGUGGGGUAGUGGCUUACCAAGGCUUUGACGGGUAGCCGGCCUGAGAGGGUGACCGGCGACAUGGGGACUGAGAGACGGCCCAGACUCCUACGGGAGGCAGCAGUGGGGAAUAUUGCACAAUGGGCGGAAGCCUGAUGCAGCAACGCUGCGUGCGGGAUGACGGCCUUCGGGUUGUGAACCGCUUUCGCCUGUGACGAAGCGUGAGUGACGGUAAUGGGUAAAGAAGCACCGGCUAACUACGUG
rnacentral:rRNA from 1 species